rnacentral:rRNA from 1 species
GACGAACGCUGGCGGCGUGCCUAAUACAUGCAAGUAGAACGCUGAAGAGAGGAGCUUACUCUUCUUGGAUGAGUUGCGAACGGGUGAGUAACGCGUAGGUAACCUGCCUUGUAGCGGGGGAUAACUAUUGGAGACGAUAGCUAAUACCGCAUAACAAUGGAUGACACAUGUCAUUUAUUUGAAAGGGGCAAUUGCUCCACUACAAGAUGGACCUGCGUUGUAUUAGCUAGUAGGUGAGGUAAUGGCUCACCUAGGCGACGAUACAUAGCCGACCUGAGAGGGUGAUCGGCCACACUGGGACUGAGACACGGCCCAGACUCCUACGGGAGGCAGCAGUAGGGAAUCUUCGGCAAUGGGGGCAACCCUGAACGAGCAACGCCGCGGGAGUGAAGAAGGUUUUCGGAUCGUAAAGCUCUGUUGUAAGUCAAGAACGGGUGUGAGAGUGGAAAGUUCACGCUGUGACGGUAGCUUACCAGAAAGGGACGGCUAACUACGUG